rnacentral:rRNA from 1 species
UUAUUGGGCGUAAAGCGCGCGCAGGCGGAUUGGUCAGUCUGUCUUAAAAGUUCGGGGCUUAACCCCGUGAUGGGAUGGAAACUGCCAAUCUAGAGUAUCGGAGAGGAAAGUGGAAUUCCUAGUGUAGCGGUGAAAUGCGUAGAUAUUAGGAAGAACACCAGUGGCGAAGGCGACUUUCUGGACGAAAACUGACGCUGAGGCGCGAAAGCCAGGGGAGCGAACGGGAUUAGAUACCCCGGUAGUCCUGGCCGUAAACGAUGGGUACUAGGUGUAGGAGGUAUCGACCCCUUCUGUGCCGGAGUUAACGCAAUAAGUACCCCGCCUGGGGAGUACGACCGCAAGGUUGAAACUCAAAGGAAUUGACGGGGGCCCGCACAAGCGGUGGAGUAUGUGGUUUAAUUCGACGCAACGCGAAGAACCUUACCAGGUCUUGACAUUGAUGGACAGAACUAGAGAUAGUUCCUCUUCUUCGGAAGCCAGAAAACAGGUGGUGCACGGUUGUCGUCAGCUCGUGUCGUGAGAAG